AGCGAACGCUGGCGGCAGGCCUAACACAUGCAAGUCGAACGAAGUCUUCGGACUUAGUGGCGGACGGGUGAGUAACACGUGGGAACGUGCCUUUAGGUUCAGAAUAACUCAGGGAAACUUGUGCUAAUACCGAAUGUGCCCUUCGGGGGAAAGAUUUAUCGCCUUUAGAGCGGCCCGCGUCUGAUUGGCUAGUUGGUGAGGUAAUGGCUCACCAAGGCUACGAUCAGUAGCUGGUCUGAGAGGAUGACCAGCCACAUUGGGACUGAGACGCGGCCCAAACUCCUACGGGAGGCAGCAGUGGGGAAUCUUGCGCAAUGGGCGAAAGCCUGACGCAGCCAUGCCGCGUGGAUGAUGAAGGUCUUAGGAUUGUAAAAUCCUUUCACCGGUGAAGAUAAUGACUGUAGCCGGAGAAGAAGCCCCGGCUAACUUCGUGCCAGCCGCCGCCGUAACAC
rnacentral:rRNA from 1 species